ACGGAAGGCAGCAGUAGGGAAUCUUCGGCGAUGGGGGCAACCCUGACCGAGCAACGCCGCGUGAGUGAAGAAGGUUUUCGGAUCGUAAAGCUCUGUUGUAAGAGAAGAACGUGUGUGAGAGUGGAAAGUUCACACAGUGACGGUAACUUACCAGAAAGGGACGGCUAACUACGUGCCAGCAGCCGCGGUAAUACGUAGGUCCCGAGCGUUGUCCGGAUUUAUUGGGCGUAAAGCGAGCGCAGGCGGUUUAAUAAGUCUGGAGUUAAAGGCAGUGGCUUAACCAUUGUUCGCUUUGGAAACUGUUAGACUUGAGUGCAGAAGGGGAGAGUGGAAUUCCAUGUGUAGCGGUGAAAUGCGUAGAUAUAUGGAGGAACACCGGUGGCGAAAGCGGCUCCCUGGUCUGUAACUGACGCUGAGGCUCGAAAGCGUGGGGAGCAAACAGGAUUAGAUACCCUGGUA
rnacentral:rRNA from 1 species